rnacentral:tRNA from 1 species
UGCUGUGGCUCAGUCGGUAGAGCGUCGCCUUGGUAAGGCGGAGGUCACGGGUUCAAGUCCCGCCAGCA